rnacentral:rRNA from 1 species
UACGGGGGGGGGCAAGCGUUGUUCGGAAUUACUGGGCGUAAAGCGCCUGUAGGCGGCCUGUCAAGUCCGGCCUGAAAGCCCCCGGCUCAACCGGGGAGGGUGGCUGGAAACUGGCAGGCUUGAGGGCGAGAGAGGAGGGUGGAAUUCCUGGUGUAGCGGUGAAAUGCGUAGAGAUCAGGAGGAACACCGGUGGCGGAAGGCGGCCCGCCUGGGCAGGAAGACACCGCAAGGUGUCGGCUGACGCUGAGG